UACAGAGGUCUCAAGCGUUUGUUCGGAUUCAUUGGGCGUAAAGGGUGUGUAGGUGGCGCCGUAAGUCGGGUGUGAAAUUUCGGAGCUUAACUCCGAAACUGCAUUCGAUACUGCGGUGCUUGAGGACUGGAGAGGAGACGUGGAAUUCAUGGUGUAGCAGUGAAAUGCGUAGAGAUCAUGGAGGAAGACCAGUGGGCGAAGGCGGGU
rnacentral:rRNA from 1 species